GCCCCGGUAGCUCAGUGGAUAGAGCAUCCGCCUCCUAAGCGGAGGGUCGAUGGUUCGAUUCCAUCUCGGGGCACCA
rnacentral:tRNA from 1 species